GACGAACGCUGGCGGCGUGCUUAACACAUGCAAGUCGAACGGAAAGGCCCUGCUUGCAGGGUACUCGAGUGGCGAACGGGUGAGUAACACGUGGGUGAUCUGCCCUGCACUUCGGGAUAAGCCUGGGAAACUGGGUCUAAUACCGGAUAGGAGCCAUUUUUAGUGUGAUGGUUGGAAAGUUUUUUCGGUGUAGGAUGAGCUCGCGGCCUAUCAGCUUGUUGGUGGGGUAAUGGCCUACCAAGGCGGCGACGGGUAGCCGGCCUGAGAGGGUGGACGGCCACAUUGGGACUGCGAUACGGCCCAGACUCCUACGGGAGGCAGCAGUGGGGAAUAUUGCACAAUGGGCGCAAGCCUGAUGCAGCGACGCCGCGUGGGGGAUGACGGCCUUCGGGUUGUAAACUCCUUUCGCUAGGGACGAAGCUUUUUGUGACGGUACCUAGAUAAGAAGCACCGGCUAACUACGUG
rnacentral:rRNA from 1 species